rnacentral:rRNA from 1 species
AUUGAACGCUGGCGGAAUGCUUUACACAUGCAAGUCGAACGGCAGCACGGGGGCAACCCUGGUGGCGAGUGGCGAACGGGUGAGUAAUACAUCGGAACGUGCCCGGUCGUGGGGGAUAACGUAGCGAAAGUUACGCUAAUUCCGCAUACGAUCUGAGGAUGAAAGCGGGGGACCUUCGGGCCUCGCGCGAUCGGAGCGGCCGAUGUCAGAUUAGGUAGUUGGUGGGGUAAAGGCCUACCAAGCCGACGAUCUGUAGCUGGUCUGAGAGGACGACCAGCCACACUGGGACUGAGACACGGCCCAGACUCCUACGGGAGGCAGCAGUGGGGAAUUUUGGACAAUGGGCGCAAGCCUGAUCCAGCCAUUCCGCGUGCAGGACGAAGGCCUUCGGGUUGUAAACUGCUUUUGUAUGGAACGAAAAGGCUCUGGCUAAUACCUGGGGCUCAUGACGGUACCGUAAGAAUAAGCACCGGCUAACUACGUG